GGGAAUGGAUGGGAGCCUGGUGGCCUCCGCGGUCUUCAAAACCGUUGUUCCGGCGCUCGUGCGCAGGAAGGUGAGUUCGAUUCUCACACGUUCCCG
rnacentral:tRNA from 1 species